CUCAAGUGUUGCGCUUGAAUAAGAACAGAUUCUGACCCUUUUGAUUCCUUUAAGUUGACAGGAUGGAGUAAAUAAUGCUGCAAUCACGACUCUCCAUGGAAUCUCAAGGACACCACAUUUUCCCCCAUCUUGUGGAAGGAUGACCUUUUCUGAUAUUUGCUCCAAACUCUGAGUGAGACCCUGUGUAAGUCCCACAGGUCUCACAGUCUCUGCCACCAUUUUCCUUUCAUGUCUGCCUUGCCUGUUGGAAUUGAGGCUCACUUCUUCAAAUGGACACAAGACUAUAGCAAUAAAUAAAAACGGAAUAAA